GUGCUCACUUUGGCAGCACAUAUACUAAAAUUGGAAUGAUACAGAGAAGAUAAGUAUGGCCCCUGCGUAAGGAUAACGUGAAAAUUUGUGAAGUAUUCCAUAUUAAA